UGGGGGAUAUUGCACAAUGGGCGAAAGCCUGAUGCAGCAACGCCGCGUGAGGGAAGACGGUUUUCGGAUUGUAAACCUCUGUCUUCGGUGAAGAAAAAAAUGACGGUAGCCGAGGAGGAAGCCACGGCUAACUACGUGCCAGCAGCCGCGGUAAUACGUAGGUGGCGAGCGUUGUCCGGAAUUACUGGGCGUAAAGGGAGCGCAGGCGGGGAGACAAGUCAGCUGUGAAAACUAUGGGCUUAACCCAUAAACUGCAGUUGAAACUGUGUUUCUUGAGUGGAGUAGAGGUAGGCGGAAUUCCGAGUGUAGCGGUGAAAGGCGUAGAUAUUCGGAGGAACACCAGUGGCGAAAGCGGCCUCCUGGCCCAUUUCUGACGCUCAGACGCGAAAGCUAGGGUAGCAAACG
rnacentral:rRNA from 1 species